rnacentral:rRNA from 1 species
AGCGAACGCUGGCGGCAGGCUUAACACAUGCAAGUCGAAUGGGCACUUCGGUGCUAGUGGCAGACGGGUGAGUAACAGGUGGGAAAGUACCUUUUAGCUUGGAAUAAUCCAGGGAAACAUGGACUAAUACCGGAUACGCUCCUCGGGGGAAAGAUUCAUCGCCGAUAGAUCGGCGCGCGUCUGAUUCGCUUGUUGGUGAGGUAAUGGCUUAUCAAGGUGACGAUCAGGAGCUGGUCGGGGAGGAUGAUCAGCCACAUUGGGACUGAGACACGGCCCAAACUCCUACGGGGGGGAGCAGUGUGGAAUAUUGGACGAGGGACGCAGGCGUGGUCCAGCCAUGCCGGGGGAGUGAUGAAGGCCUUAGGGUUGUAAAGCUCUUUUGUCCGGGAAGAUAAUGACUGUACCGGAUGAAUAAGCCCCGGCUAACUACGUG